CCUACGGGCGGCAGCAGUCGAGAAUCAUUCACAAUGGGGGAAACCCUGAUGGUGCGACGCCGCGUGGGGGCAUGAAGGUCUUCGGAUUGUACACCCCUGUCAUGUGGGAGCAAAUUAAAAAGAUAGUACCACAAGAGGAAGAGACGGCUAACUCUGUGCCAGCAGCAGCGGUAAUACAGAGGUCUCAAGCGUUGUUCGGAAUCACUGGGCGUAAAGCGUGCGUAGGCUGUUUCGUAAGUAGUGUUUGAAAGGCGCGGGCUCAACCCGCGGACGGCACAUGAUACUGCGAGACUAGAGUAAUGGAGGGGGAACCGGAAUUCUCGGUGUAGCAGUGAAAUGCGUAGAUAUCGAGAGGAACACUCGUGGCGAAGGCGGGUUCCUGGACAUUAACUGACGCUGAGGCACGAAGGCCAGGGGAGCGAAAGGGAUUAGAUACCCCGGUAGUC
rnacentral:rRNA from 1 species